rnacentral:tRNA from 1 species
GCCCGCCUAGCUCAAUCGGAUAGAGCGUCAGACUCUUACGAGAGUAUUAUCAGGCAUCUGAAGGCUGCCGGUUCGACCCCGGCGGUGGGCU